AGCAGCCGCGGUAAUUCCAGCUCCAAUAGCGUAUAUUAAAGUUGUUGCAGUUAAAAAGCUCGUAGUUGAAUUUCGGGAUCAGCGCGUCGGUCGUGCCUCCGGUAUGCACUGGCGCCGCUGGUUUCUCCCUUCUGAGGAACCGUGAUGUCAUUAAUUUGGUGUUGCGGGAAAUCAGGACUGUUACUUUGAAAAAUUAGAGUGUUUAAAGCGGGCACGCGCUUGAAUACAUUAGCAUGGAAUAACGAAAUAGGACGUUCGAUCUUAUUUUGUUGGUUUCUAGGAUUGACGUAAUGAUUAAUAGGGAUAGUUGGGGGCAUUAGUAUUCAAUUGUCAGAGGUGAAAUUCUUGGAUUUAUUGAAGACUAACUACUGCGAAAGCAUUUGCCAAGGAUGUUUUCAUUAAUCAAGAACGAAAGUUAGGGGAUCGAAGACGAUCAGAUACCGUCGUAGUCUUAACCAUAAACUAUGCCGACUAGGGAUCGGCUGAUGUUAAUUUUAAUGACUCAUUCGGCGCCUUAAC
rnacentral:rRNA from 1 species